GUUCUGUGCUUGCAAACAUAUACAGGGUGUGAGGGUUAAAUUGUCGCCAUUUUAUAUUUUUAAUUUCAUGAAUGUGAAUUGUUUGUUUUUGAUUUUAUCAACUACACAGUAUAGAAGGGACAGUUGGGCACUGUCUGUGAGAAAAACAAC